rnacentral:rRNA from 1 species
GGGUUGUGAGGUUAAGCGACUAAGCGUACACGGUGGAUGCCCUGGCAGUCAGAGGCGAUGAAGGACGUGCUAAUCUGCGAUAAGCGUCGGUAAGGUGAUAUGAACCGUUAUAACCGGCGAUUUCCGAAUGGGGAAACCCAGUGUGUUUCGACACACUAUCAUUAACUGAAUCCAUAGGUUAAUGAGGCGAACCGGGGGAACUGAAACAUCUAAGUACCCCGAGGAAAAGAAAUCAACCGAGAUUCCCCCAGUAGCGGCGAGCGAACGGGGAGGAGCCCAGAGCCUGAAUCAGUGUGUGUGUUAGUGGAAGCGUCUGGAAAGGCGCGCGAUACAGGGUGACAGCCCCGUACACAAAAAUGCACAUGCUGUGAGCUCGAUGAGUAGGGCGGGACACGUGGUAUCCUGUCUGAAUAUGGGGGGACCAUCCUCCAAGGCUAAAUACUCCUGACUGACCGAUAGUGAACCAGUACCGUGAGGGAAAGGCGAAAAGAACCCCGGCGAGGGGAGUGAAAAAGAACCUGAAACCGUGUACGUACAAGCAGUGGGAGCACAGAGCAAUCUGUGUGACUGCGUACCUUUUGUAUAAUGGGUCAGCGACUUAUAUUCUGUAGCAAGGUUAACCGAAUAGGGGAGCCGAAGGGAAACCGAGUCUUAACCGGGCGUUAAGUUGCAGGGUAUAGACCCGAAACCCGGUGAUCUAGCCAUGGGCAGGUUGAAGGUUGGGUAACACUAACUGGAGGACCGAACCGACUAAUGUUGAAAAAUUAGCGGAUGACUUGUGGCUGGGGGUGAAAGGCCAAUCAAACCGGGAGAUAGCUGGUUCUCCCCGAAAGCUAUUUAGGUAGCGCCUCGUGAAUUCAUCUCCGGGGGUAGAGCACUGUUUCGGCAAGGGGGUCAUCCCGACUUACCAACCCGAUGCAAACUGCGAAUACCGGAGAAUGUUAUCACGGGAGACACACGGCGGGUGCUAACGUCCGUCGUGAAGAGGGAAACAACCCAGACCGCCAGCUAAGGUCCCAAAGUCAUGGUUAAGUGGGAAACGAUGUGGGAAGGCCCAGACAGCCAGGAUGUUGGCUUAGAAGCAGCCAUCAUUUAAAGAAAGCGUAAUAGCUCACUGGUCGAGUCGGCCUGCGCGGAAGAUGUAACGGGGCUAAACCAUGCACCGAAGCUGCGGCAGCGACACUGUGUGUUGUUGGGUAGGGGAGCGUUCUGUAAGCCUGUGAAGGUGUGCUGUGAGGUAUGCUGGAGGUAUCAGAAGUGCGAAUGCUGACAUAAGUAACGAUAAAGCGGGUGAAAAGCCCGCUCGCCGGAAGACCAAGGGUUCCUGUCCAACGUUAAUCGGGGCAGGGUGAGUCGACCCCUAAGGCGAGGCCGAAAGGCGUAGUCGAUGGGAAACAGGUUAAUAUUCCUGUACUUGGUGUUACUGCGAAGGGGGGACGGAGAAGGCUAUGUUGGCCGGGCGACGGUUGUCCCGGUUUAAGCGUGUAGGCUGGUUUUCCAGGCAAAUCCGGAAAAUCAAGGCUGAGGCGUGAUGACGAGGCACUACGGUGCUGAAGCAACAAAUGCCCUGCUUCCAGGAAAAGCCUCUAAGCAUCAGGUAACAUCAAAUCGUACCCCAAACCGACACAGGUGGUCAGGUAGAGAAUACCAAGGCGCUUGAGAGAACUCGGGUGAAGGAACUAGGCAAAAUGGUGCCGUAACUUCGGGAGAAGGCACGCUGAUAUGUAGGUGAAGUCCCUCGCGGAUGGAGCUGAAAUCAGUCGAAGAUACCAGCUGGCUGCAACUGUUUAUUAAAAACACAGCACUGUGCAAACACGAAAGUGGACGUAUACGGUGUGACGCCUGCCCGGUGCCGGAAGGUUAAUUGAUGGGGUUAGCGCAAGCGAAGCUCUUGAUCGAAGCCCCGGUAAACGGCGGCCGUAACUAUAACGGUCCUAAGGUAGCGAAAUUCCUUGUCGGGUAAGUUCCGACCUGCACGAAUGGCGUAAUGAUGGCCAGGCUGUCUCCACCCGAGACUCAGUGAAAUUGAACUCGCUGUGAAGAUGCAGUGUACCCGCGGCAAGACGGAAAGACCCCGUGAACCUUUACUAUAGCUUGACACUGAACAUUGAGCCUUGAUGUGUAGGAUAGGUGGGAGGCUUUGAAGUGUGGACGCCAGUCUGCAUGGAGCCGACCUUGAAAUACCACCCUUUAAUGUUUGAUGUUCUAACGUGGACCCGUGAUCCGGGUUGCGGACAGUGUCUGGUGGGUAGUUUGACUGGGGCGGUCUCCUCCUAAAGAGUAACGGAGGAGCACGAAGGUUGGCUAAUCCUGGUCGGACAUCAGGAGGUUAGUGCAAUGGCAUAAGCCAGCUUGACUGCGAGCGUGACGGCGCGAGCAGGUGCGAAAGCAGGUCAUAGUGAUCCGGUGGUUCUGAAUGGAAGGGCCAUCGCUCAACGGAUAAAAGGUACUCCGGGGAUAACAGGCUGAUACCGCCCAAGAGUUCAUAUCGACGGCGGUGUUUGGCACCUCGAUGUCGGCUCAUCACAUCCUGGGGCUGAAGUAGGUCCCAAGGGUAUGGCUGUUCGCCAUUUAAAGUGGUACGCGAGCUGGGUUUAGAACGUCGUGAGACAGUUCGGUCCCUAUCUGCCGUGGGCGCUGGAGAACUGAGGGGGGCUGCUCCUAGUACGAGAGGACCGGAGUGGACGCAUCACUGGUGUUCGGGUUGUCAUGCCAAUGGCACUGCCCGGUAGCUAAAUGCGGAAGAGAUAAGUGCUGAAAGCAUCUAAGCACGAAACUUGCCCCGAGAUGAGUUCUCCCUGACCCUUUAAGGGUCCUGAAGGAACGUUGAAGACGACGACGUUGAUAGGCCGGGUGUGUAAGCGCAGCGAUGCGUUGAGCUAACCGGUACUAAUGAACCGUGAGGCUUAACCUUACAACGCCGAAGGUGUUU